GCAUAUCAAUAAGCGGAGGAAAAGAAACUAACAAGGAUUCCCCUAGUAACGGCGAGCGAACAGGGAAGAGCUCAAAUUUGAAAUCUGGCGUCCUCCGGGCGUCCGAGUUGUAAUCUAUAGAGACGUUUUCCGUGCCGGACCGUGUCCAAGUUCCUUGGAACAGGAUAUCAAAGAGGGUGACAAUCCCGUACUUGACACGACGACCGGUGCUCUGUGAUACGUUUUCUACGAGUCGAGUUGUUUGGGAAUGCAGCUCAAAAUGGGUGGUGAGUUCCAUCUAAAGCUAAAUAUUGGCGAGAGACCGAUAGCGAACAAGUACCGUGAGGGAAAGAUGAAAAGCACUUUGGAAAGAGAGUUAAACAGUACGUGAAAUUGUUAAAAGGGAAACGAUUGAAGUCAGUCGUGUCUGGGAGGCUCAGCCGGUUCUGCCGGUGUAUUCCUCUCAGACGGGUCAACAUCAGUUUUGUCCGACGGAUAAUGGCGGCGGGAAAGUAGCACCUCCGGGUGUGUUAUAGCCCGCUGUCGCAUACGCCGGAUGAGACUGAGGCAUGCAGCUCGCCUUUAUGGCAGGGGUUCGCCCACUUUCGAGCUUAGGAUGUUGACGUAAUGGCUUUAAACGACCCGUCUUGAAACACGGACC
rnacentral:rRNA from 1 species